GUGGGGAAUAUUGCGCAAUGGCCGAAAGGCUGACGCAGCGACGCCGCGUGGGGGAGGAAGGUCUUCGGAUUGUAAACCCCUGUUGCCCGGGACGAAUCCUGGUUUCGACCAGAUUGACGGUACCGGGUGAGGAAGCACCGGCUAACUCUGUGCCAGCAGCCGCGGUAAUACAGAGGGUGCGAGCGUUGUCCGGAAUCACUGGGCGUAAAGGGCGCGUAGGUGGCUUGCCAAGCGUGUGGUGAAAGCCCGGAGCUCAACUCCGGGUCGGCCAUGCGAACUGGCAGGCUAGAGCACGGUAGAGGCCAAUGGAAUUCCGGGUGUAGCGGUGGAAUGCGUAGAGAUCCGGAAGAACACCGGUGGCGAAGGCGGUUGGCUGGGCCGUUGCUGACACUGAGGCGCGACAGCGUGGGGAGCAAACAGGAUUAGAAACCCCAGUAGUCC
rnacentral:rRNA from 1 species